UUUUCCAAAUUCAUUUAAGUCAGCAUUUCCUCUUAUUUAAUGAGGUUAUGAGUGAUUCUGAUUCAAAACUGCUGAUUAUAAUGUAGGCACAUUUUCACAUCAAUAGUCUCCAAAACCCAAUUUUAGCAUGAUAGUUCAUCUGGUAGGUUAACUGUCACUAAAUGAUAAUUUGCUAAUCAUGGAAUAUUUAGACUGUUUAAAAUGCUUUCAUAUAAUACACAACUUGUGAUGCAUACGCUCAUUCAUAAAUGUUUGAACAUACCUCUACUACUUUUUUUUAGGGGAAAUAUCCAGAUAAAGAUAUUAUUGGUUUGGUGAGAAAGGCUUUAUAAAAUCUCUGAUGUAUUUUGCCAAAUUAUUUUCCAGAAAACUUUUAGCAAUUUAUAUUCCUACUAACAACAAAAUACCUGUUUGAUUGCACACUUCUAAAGAUCUUCCUGUGCGAUGUUGAAAACAAUAGUGUGAGGAGUCAUACUGCCUUGUUCCUGAUCUUAGAAGAAAAUCUUCAAGUUUCUCACCACAGCCUCCAGACAUCUGGAGUAUGCCAGAUCCCAUCAGUACUCCAUGACAAGUGAGACUAAAGGAAGUUCCACAGACAUCUCCCAGAAAUGUUGGAUUGUUGGGUGUUUUGUCCAACUUUUUCCUUUUCUAGAAACUGGGUUAUGGGUUUUUUGCCUGCUUGCUCUGCACUUAGCUGAGAGAGUGGCCAUGGUGACUUAUUGAGUGCUUGGUUAAACUGUUUUCUCCAUUCUUAUUAACCCCCAGUCAGCUGGGUUAUGCUGGACCACUUCAGCACUGUGAUACAGGCUAAAUUUAAACCAGUCCUCUGGGUAGCUCCCAGAAAAGUUGGAGCGAUGUGUGUGUAGUUUACUUCUUUCCUCCUCAGAUAAAAACUGUGAGCUGAGCUUUUAGUUUGUUCACUGUAUGAUGAAUUGAGGAGCUAGAGGGUAUUAUGCUCAGUGAAAUAAGCCAAGCAGAGAAAAACAAAUACCAAAUGAU